GUUGGAGUUAUUGUCAGAAGCUCUUGGUCUCCAUCCAAACUACCUUAACAACAUUGAUUGUGGUGAGGGGCUUGGUGUUCUAGGCCACUAUUAUCCGGUGUGCCCGCAACCAGAAGUGACUUUAGGCACCUGCAAGCAUGCUGAUAAUGAUUUUCUUACUGUGCUUCUCCAAGAUCAUAUUGGAGGCCUCCAAGUUGUUCAUCAGAAUCAGUGGGUUGAUGUACCCCCAAUCCCUGGAGCUCUAGUUGUCAACAUUGGAGAUGUUUUACAGGCAAGUCACGUUAAUUUUGAAUUUUAAGAUAUCCCAAAUCGACUUCAGAAAGUCAAGUAGACUAUAUAGCUAUUAUUAACAUUAACAAUAUUAAUUUGUGAAUGCAUGUAUGUGUUUUUCAGCUCAUAUCCAAUGACAAGUUCAAAAGCGUUGAACACAGAGUAUUAGCCAACAAUAGGAGUUCGAGGGUAUCCGUGCCAAGCUUCUUCGGCACAAAUGAAUUACCAUCCUCCAAGCUGUAUGGGCCUAUUAAGGAGUUAUUAUCCGAUGAGAACCCCCCACGUAUAGGCCAACAACCGUGAGAGACUACGUACUCUAUUACAAUGCCAAAGGACUGGAUGGUAACUCCGCCUUGUCGCAUUUCAGGCUAUAAAAUUUUAUAUACUAUAUAAUUAUAUAUAUAGUACAAAAGUGAAAAUGAUCAUGCAUGUUAUGAGAUGGGUAUUAGUUAUAAAAUAUAGAAAAUAGUUUAAAUAAUUAAAACUUAGUAUUUGUUAUCACAUGGUAUUUGGCUCAUCUCAUAAUUUUCAUGAGGUCGAGCCUUAGAAAGGAAGGGGUGUGUGUCAAUGUAGAGGGGAAAAAAACUUAGUAUUUGUGUGUUUGGUUUGUCGUUUGUGUAUAAAUAUAUAUUUAUUUAUCAUAAUAAAUAUAUAUUAUUGAGAGGGAGACUGUUAAGAUAUCACAAGUAAGUUGGAGAUAAAUAACGAAUGAUUAAUAUAUACUACAUGAAUGUGUAGAAAGAGCUAAUAUUCAGAUAUCUAGGGUCGUUGAUGAUGAACAUGCAUUCACAGCGGCAGGUAGGUUUUGCCACAAAAUUCUAAACACUAAACACACGAGUCCUUGAAAAGGUAUUUACUCUCGAAUAUAUCAACUGAGCAAACCCCCACUCUUUAUUAUCCUACGCAAACGCCAUGAUUUACUAUCAUUAUCUACAACUGUAAAUAGCUCCAAAAAUUAAUGAUUAUUAGUUAAUUAAUUAAGAGUUAAUUGCAUAUUAUAUCCCCAAGUAUACAUCUUUUUUAGCAUUCGUAUCCCGAUGUUUAAACGGUCCCAUCCCGUUACCCCAAGGCCCAAGCAGUGGAGAAGCCAGAAAAUUUCAUCAGUGGGGUCGAAAUUACUACUAAGUUACAAAAAAAAUUGGCGGGGGUUCGGGGACAAUUUUUUUUAAUACUUUAUACUUUCGGGUAUAUAUAUAUAUUAUAUUACAAUGAAAAUAUAAAGAGUAAUAAUAUAUGGUAUAUAUACACUAUAUUGACUCAUAAUAAACUUUUUUAAUCACAAAUGUUCAUAAAUUAGAUUAAGUUUAAAAUAUUAUAGAGAGAUACAUAUAUUGAAAGGAUAUGAGUCAUAUGUAAUUAAAAUUUGAUUGACAAAGUUAUAAAUUUUCAAUUUGACCCCGUAUAAUAAAAAAUUUAUAAAAUUUUAGUGGGGUCAAUUUAUAUAUAAUAUUUUAAAAUUUUAAAAUUCACCUUAUAUUAUAAAGUAAUUUUUUUUCAGUGGGGCCGAUUCACCCCACAAAGUUGACGUGACUUCGCAACUAACCCUAAGUACCUUUAAGUAAGCAUAACUGAUCUUUUUGUAAUUUUCAGCCAUUUAAAUUGUGACACGCGGCCAUUUUCCGGCAAACAAAUUGACCAAAAAUAAAAUAAAGCGUUAAUUGCACUUUAUGGCCUCCAAGUUUUACCGGUUUUACAAUUGGUUCCCAAAGUAAAAAUCUUCCCAAUAUAGACCCUAAAGUAUGUUUAAGUAACCGAACUAAACCCUUUAUGAUAUUCCAACAAGAUUUUAGCCGGAAAUACUUGAAAAAUACGGUUUGACCAUAUUUGACUUAUUAGAUUGGUAUAAAAUAUAUAUAAAUACUUAUUUUAACGUAUUAAAUUCGUAUAAAUCCUUAUAAUAGAUAAACUUAGAACUAAAAAUACAAAGAAAAAAACUAUAAACUAUAUCUUAUCUUUCUAUUCAGGGUCGACCCUGAGUUUUUAAUGGCCUAAAGCGACAAUAAAAAAAUUUGGGCCUAUUUUAUUGGAAAAUUUUUUUGUCAUCCUUUAAAUUUAAACUAACGUGUGCUUGUUUCUUUUGUUUUGGUAUAUAUAUAUAUAUACAUAACACAAAGGGCAAAUAUCUCUUGGAGGCCCUAAAUAAUUAUCAAUUUUAAUGAACCUAAAAUCCAGACACUUUGAGCUUUAGCCCAGGACCGGUGUUGUUUCUAUUAUAAUUACAUUAUGAGGGAUGGGGGUAGAGAUUUGAACCCUCGCGUACGGCUACACAAUGGUGUGAGGGGUGGGAUUCUGACCACAAGGUUUAGGUUGUGGACAAAAAUCUCCAUCUAAAAGCAUUAUUUAAGUUGUAAAAGUUUGAUAUCGUUUAUUUUCACACUUAUUCAACCUCUCUCUUCUAAGUGUGCCUAUUUAAAUUUCAUGGACACUAAUCAGGUUUGCUUACAAAAUAUUACAAAAUUAUAAAAUCUCUAAUUUGUAAUAUUUUUGAUACUUCGAUAACGAGAAUGUAACAAAAAAAGUUUUAGUAACCAAAUUAAAAAUCGACCCCAAAUACAAUGACCAAAACAUCAAUUGACGCGAUCCACGUCACCUGCCACAUAAUUAACAAAUGUCAAUCGUUAGCCUACUCAGCACUUCAGUUAUGUUGGACAGAAUCAUAAGUAUGCGUUUGUAACAAAAAAAAUUCAAUAACCAUAAUGAAAAUUACCUCUAGUACAGUGACCAAAAUGUCAAUAAACUCGUACUUGUAGAACGUUCAUUUUUUAGGACAUGUAAUAAGUUUCUUCAGUUCUACUUCUACAUGUCCACAAGGUUUUUCUUUUUGGCAUUAUUGUAUACAAUUACAUUACGAGGGAUGGUGAGUAGAGAUUUGAACCCACACGGCUACGCUAUGGUGUGGGGUGGAAUUCUGUCCACAAGGUUUAGGUUGUGGACAAAAAUCUCCAUCUAAAAACAUGAAUUAUUUUUGGUUGGAACUUUUACUAGGACUAGCUAGCUAUUAUGCUCCGAUACACUUGAUGUUUGACCAAAUAGAUACAUAUCUUGUGACCUUUAAGAAAGAGCAAAAAUGAUACGUAACUAUGUUUCAAAGUUGAACUCGAAUUCUCUUUGUUUGUGAGAAAAUGAUUUAUAUGUUGAUUAGUUUUAUGUCGAAUGGGAAUUAAUGUCAUUAAAGUGGAACAAUAAAGAUAGAAUAGUGGUAUGCGAGUCACUUCUUAUAUACAUAAAUUUGUUGUCAUACAACACUCUUGUUUAUAUUAUUCUGCAUUUUCUGACAUCCACUAGAAUUAUUUGUGGCCCUGAUAAAUGAACACAAACUAUAUAGCAACACAAACUUUAUUCUGUGUUUGAUAGUCGAUAUACCCCCACCCCCUUCAACUUCUCCACAAAAACUCCAAGAAAAAAUGGCCACAAAUGAAGUUCAGCUCUCAACUGAACCGAACUACGACAGAAAAGCAGAACUAAAAGCCUUUGAUGACACAAAAUCCGGUGUGAAAGGACUAGUUGAUUCCGGUAUCGCCAAGGUCCCUCAAAUUUUUAUCCCAUCACCAGAAAAUAUAGACAAAUUCAUAUCCAAUAAUCCAAGCAAAACCCCAUUAAGUUUCCCAAUUAUAGACCUUGAUGAAUUAGGCCUAAUUCAUCGCAACAAGAUAGUUGAAAAAAUCCGGGAGGCGUCAGAGAGUUGGGGAUUUUUCUUGGUGAUCAAUCAUGGUAUUAAAGGUAGCAUUUUGGAGGAGGUUAUGGAUGGUGUACGCAGGUUUCAUGAGCAAGAAAAUGAGGUGAAGAAAGAAUGGUACACGCGUGAUGCGACCAAACCAUUUGGGUAUAAUAGCAACUUUGAUUUGUAUAGUGCUAGUGCACCUGCAGCUAACUGGAGGGAUACCUUUUUGUGCAUGAUGGCUCCUAAUCCUCCCAAUCCACAAGACUUGCCAGCAGCAUGUAGGUAUGUUGUAGAUAGCAUGCAUGCAUGUACAUCUGGCUUAGACUACUAUAUAUAUAUAUAUAUAUAUAUAUAUAUAUAUAUAUAUAUAUAUAUAUAUAUAUAUAUAUAUAUAUAUAUAUAUAUAUAUAUUUUUAUUCAUCAUCAUGUCUACUUCUUUCAUUAUUAUUUUUUUAUGUUUUGCAGAGAUAUUCUGAUUCAGUACUCAAAGGAAGUAAUGAAACUAGGAUUGAGUUUGUUGGAGUUAUUGUCAGAAGCUCUUGGUCUCCAUCCAAACUACCUUAACAACAUUGAUUGUGGUGAGGGGCUUAUGGUGCUAGGCCACUAUUAUCCAGUGUGCCCGCAACCAGAAGUGACUUUAGGCACCAGCAAGCAUGCUGAUAAUGAUUUUCUUACCGUGCUUCUCCAAGAUCAUAUUGGAGGUCUCCAAGUUCUUCAUCAGAAUCAGUGGGUUGAUGUACC
rnacentral:lncRNA from 1 species